rnacentral:rRNA from 1 species
GCACAACGCGAAGAACCUUACCUACUCUUGACAUCCAGAGAACUUGGCAGAGAUGCUUUGGUGCCUUCGGGAACUCUGAGACAGGUGCUGCAUGGCUGUCGUCAGCUCGUGUUGUGAAAUGUUGGGUUAAGUCCCGCAACGAGCGCAACCCUUAUCCUUUGUUGCCAGCGGUCCGGCCGGGAACUCAAAGGAGACUGCCAGUGAUAAACUGGAGGAAGGUGGGGAUGACGUCAAGUCAUCAUGGCCCUUACGAGUAGGGCUACACACGUGCUACAAUGGCGCAUACAAAGAGAAGCGACCUCGCGAGAGCAAGCGGACCUCAUAAAGUGCGUCGUAGUCCGGAUUGGAGUCUGCAACUCGACUCCAUGAAGUCGGAAUCGCUAGUAAUCGUGGAUCAGAAUGCCACGGUGAAUACGUUCCCGGGUCUUGUACACACCG